rnacentral:lncRNA from 1 species
UGGACCGAUUGGGGCAUCUCAUGGUAGUCAUGUGGCAUGUGUUUGUAGGUGCAAGGGCUCCAAAAGUUGGCGCCUAAAGGAUCUCCUAAAGGGAGUCAAAUAACUAAAGGAAUAAAAAUUCCUAAUGCAAGUAGGACUUAUAUUAAGUGGUAGUUUGAUUUUGAAUAGGAUUCAAACCUUAUGCCUAUUUAAAGGGGCCUUCCCUAAGGCUCCUUAGCAUUGAAUUCCAGCACCCCAUGCCUCCCUUAGAAGCUCCCCAUGCCCCCUCUUUCUUC